rnacentral:tRNA from 1 species
GCCGGGGUGGCUGAGCGGUUAGGCGGCCGGCUGCAGACCGGCUCAACACCGGUUCAAAUCCGGUCCCCGGCUCCA